ACGUUAGCCUCCGGUCAUCAAAUAGCAAAACCCAAAACAACAGCAGAUGAUAUCUUCCAAGUGUCUGCUCGGGACACGGCUUCAGCCCUCUGUGGUCCCCUCUCCCCGGGGGGCUUUGGGAUUCUUGUCAAGCUCCUUCAAGAGCCUGCAAGCACUUAACCAGCCACCCAGAGUUCCCUCACUGAAGAUCUGAGCAUGACCCGGGACGAGGCACUGCCGGACUCUCAUUCUGCACAGGACUUCUAUGAGAAUUAUGAGCCCAAAGAGAUCCUGGGCAGGUAAAGCCCAAGCUUUCCCCACGAAGUGCUGUCCUAGGCUCCAGCAGACCCUGUGGGCUACAGCCAGCUCUGCUCCACCCCGAGUACUAACGCCACUUUCAUCCCCAAAGUGCUGUUCACUUGGAGAAACCCUUUGUUUGGGGUCCUGCCCUCCUGAAGCCAGGACAGAUAAGAGAAACCUCUCCCAGCAAAAAGUUCCCAGGGGCAGGCGCAAUGGCUCACACCUGUAAUCCCAGCACUUUGGGAGGCUGAGGUGGGAGGAUUGCUUGAGGCCAAGAGUUCAAGAUCAGCCUGGGCAACAUAGC
rnacentral:lncRNA from 10 species